rnacentral:rRNA from 1 species
UACAGAGGGUGCAAGCGUUGCUCGGAAUCAUUGGGCGUAAAGGGCAAGUAGGUGGUCUUAUUUGUCUAGGGUGAAAUCCUUGAGCUUAACUCAAGAAGUGCCCUAGAAACGGUGAGACUAGAGUUCUGGAGAGGGUCGUGGAAUUCCCGGUGUAGCGGUGAAAUGCGUAGAGAUCGGGAGGAACACCAGAGGCGAAGGCGGCGACCUGGACAGAUACUGACACUCAAAUGCG